CUAGAACAAUCUCUGCAUUCCACAACGAGCAAAGACAAAAGAUCUGCGGUGAAUGGGAUUAUUUUGGAGCAUUCAGUAACCCAAAUUGCGCAGCGCUGAUUUUGCCGAAGGAGCCAGCUUGGUUUGUCCUCUUCAGAACAUGGCAUCAAGCUUCUUAUCGUUCAAAUGGUCGAAACACGUUAAUAAAGACAUUUUGGUUAUAAGUCGUUAUUUCAAGCACAUUAAAAGAUGAUCAUUUGU